GACGAGGGGUCCUAGCGUUGUUCGGAAUCACUGGGCGUAAAGCGCAUGUAGGCGGCCUAGUAAGUCGGAUGUGAAAGCCCUGGGCUUAACCCAGGAAGUGCAUCCGAAACUGCUGAGCUUGAAUAUGAGAGAGGGCAGUGGAAUUCCUGGUGUAGUGGUGAAAUACGUAGAUAUCAGGAGGAACACCGGCGGCGAAGGCGGCUGCCUGGCUCAAUAUUGACGCUGAGAUGCGAAAGCGUGGGGAUCAAACAGG
rnacentral:rRNA from 1 species